UGAAUUUUCUGGUACGAAACUAAUGAAAUGUGACUCGUCUAUAAAUUCCACUGUUUUCAUCGUUGUACCAACACAAGCAAUCAAACAAUUUACCAACAAAACAUCAACUAGAGAAAGAGAAAAAAAUGGAAUUUGAUUAUUUUUGCCCGCCUGGGAAGCUAAGCUGGCCGGAAUUGGUUGGAAAGAAUGGAGAAGAAGCAGCUGAAAUAAUUAAGCAAGAGAAUCCUCUUGUCGAUCCCAUUGUUUGGGAUAAAGGAUGGAGGCCACUUAACUUCAAUUGUUAUCGGGUUUUCGUAUUCGUUGAUUCGGAUGGUAUCGUUACUAGUCCUCCAACGGCAGGUUAAGCAGUGCCAUGAAUCAUGCGAAUAAUAUGUACACAUCAAAUUAUAUAAGUACUAAAUAAAUGAAUGUGUACCGGUAUAUAUGUAGCAUGUAGUACGGAUCCAAGUAUGUGUGAUUAUGAAAUAUGAAGUGAUGAUAAUCUAUUUGAACUACAUACAAUAAAAGGAAAUUGGGGUGUGCUAAAAUUUGGCACGACACGAUGCCCACCUUUAA